UACGGAGGGUGCAAGCGUUAUCCGGAUUCACUGGGUUUAAAGGGUGCGUAGGUGGGAAUGUAAGUCAGUGGUGAAAUCUCCGUGCUUAACAUGGAAACUGCCAUUGAUACUAUGUUUCUUGAAUUUUCUGGAGUCAGCGGAAUAUGUCAUGUAGCGGUGAAAUGCUUAGAUAUGACAUAGAACAUCGAUUGCGAAGGCAGCUCGCUACGCUAUUAUUGACACUGAUG
rnacentral:rRNA from 1 species